rnacentral:rRNA from 1 species
AUGGAGGAGGAACUCCCGUCGUCAAACUCUGAUAGUGCAGAAGGUGCUAAUGUGAUUAAGGUUGAUUUGUUUUUCUUUGCUGUUACAAUUUUACGCACGAACCGUGCGAAAUGUGACAAGCCAAUGUUUCAAAAUCGCGAAUGUGAUGCCAAUGUUGGUUCUAUUGCUAAAGCAUUUGUCCCCACUGGCAUGCUCAACUCAGACAGUGCUGACGUUGUUUUUUAUUCUCUAUGUCAUAAGUAUCGAGACACUGACAAGUUGAUAGUUCCCAGAUGGGUGACGCUUCUUUUCCCUACUUUUGAUCCACCGUCAUUUGCGGCUGCCAUGAAGCCUAGUGACGAAUCUGUCAUUGGUGCUUGA